rnacentral:lncRNA from 1 species
AUAAUUGUAAAAUAAAAAAAUACAUCAAGGUUUAUAAUCUCUAAAUGUACAUUUGCAUUAACACUAGUGUCUAUUCACAAACAAAAUGCACUAUGAACGACUUGACCUCUAGUAGCUGAGCGACUUGGAAUAAUGUGCUAUGAGAAGCCUUUACCUAUCACGGUGGACAAUAUGUGCCGAUGAAUGCACGCUAGGCUGAUCACUAUCUGCAAAAGGGGAGAUAAGGGGGUGAGUUUCACAAACUUAGUGAUCAUCGACUUCGUGAGUAGGGCGUAGGUGGGAAAAAAGCUUAGAGAAGAUAAUUUGAAGGAUAAAACUAUAGUAUAAAAUGCUAUCCCUAUAAAACCAAAUAACAAAUAAGGUAUUUGUGCCUUGCAAAAAUAAUGUCGUGAAAAUCAUAGUGUAAUACUUUCCUUGGCAAACAAUGUCGAAAUCAAGGCAUAGUAAAAUAGAUUUCAAUCGUCGAAAUCAUUUAUUACUUUCAUGAUUACAAAUGGCCGCAUAAAAACAUGCACGCUCCCAAACUGUGUGGCAUGUAAGAAAAUAACCGAGUACACCCACAUACAUCAAUUCAUGAUCACCAUAUAAAGCAUUGAAAGCUUUUAACUGAAAAGGGGAGCUAUGGAAAAACAAUAUCUCUCCAUCAUGCGAAAGAGUAUGAGUCUAAAAACUCUCAAGGCUCUUGAGUGUUGGUCCCAAGUAAAUGUGCUAGAGGGGGGGGGGUGAAUAGCACAAUUUGGCUCUUUCAAAAUUUGGCUCUAAGUAGAAAUAAACGCAAGAUAAAGGAAUGAAAGAAUAUAAAACAAAAACAGAGUAGACAACACACUAGAAUUUAGAGUGGCUCGGUCCAAGACCUACAUCCAUUACCUUGAUUGUUCAAUCAAGGAUUUUUCAAACAAAUCCACUAUGAACAGUGAAAUUCACAUGCUUUGUCACGACCCGAAACUCUCAUCGAGCCCUUGACAAUUGCCAUGAUGUCCCGAUAGACAUUCAUUACUCGAAAUGUCAAUCGAAACUUCGCAAGGCUUAACAUCAGUUUUCUCGCUUCCCCUGUGAGUAUUAGUUAUUAAAAUCAUGUUUUAAAGUGAUAUGAACCAAUUUCAAUUCAAAAACAGUCAAAGAGAAAUUUCAACUACACAGGGGUAUUUUGGUCAGUUUUUUCAAAAAAUUUGAAAUCAGCUAAAAUGUAGUAUAUGAGAGAAAUUUACACAUUUCAUUAGCAAAAAUAAGUUUAGAUAACUAAAACAUUAAUUUAAAGUGAAAUUAUGACUAAUGGAAUAAAAUAAAAAUAAUGAAUAAAAUAUUCUAAUUUUUCAUAAAAUAAUUUUUAUAGAAGGCUAUGUAAAUAAUUUUUACAACGUAAAAGCAAAAUAAAUUCCUAUAUACAGUAGCACACGUAGGCAGGUAUUCAAAACAUUUAACAAUGACAUGUGGGCCCCCGAAUGACUAAAAGUAAUGAAGGCUAUGAACCUACAGUUUUUGAGGAUGCAAGUCCAACUGUAGCCCUUAACGAAAUGAGCUAUCUAUCGACUAUCCUGAGC